rnacentral:rRNA from 1 species
UACGAGGGGGGCGAGCGUUGUUCGGAAUUAUUGGGCGUAAAGGGUGCGUAGGCGGUUUGGUAAGUCUUGUGUGAAAUCUCCAGGCUCAACUUGGAGUCUGCACGAGAAACUGCCGGGCUUGAGUAUGGGAGAGGUGAGUGGAAUUCCUGGUGUAGCGGUGAAAUGCGUAGAUAUCGUAAGGAAGACCAGUGGCGAAGGCGAAUCUCUGGACAGUUACUGACACUGAGGCACGAAGGCCAGGGGAGCAAACGGG